rnacentral:rRNA from 1 species
UACGUAGGGUGCGAGCGUUGUUCGGAGUUACUGGGCGUAAAGAGUGCGUAGGCGGUCCUGUAAGUUUGGUGUGAAAUCUCACGGCUCAACUGUGAGCGUGCGGGCGAUACGGGCAGACUAGAGUACUGCAGGGGAGACUGGAAUUCCUGGUGUAGCGGUGGAAUGCGCAGAUAUCAGGAGGAACACCGGUGGCGAAGGCGGGUCUCUGGGCAGUAACUGACGCUGAGGAGCGAAAGCGUGGGGAGCGAACAGG